rnacentral:tRNA from 1 species
GUCAUGGCUCAGUGGGAGAGCAUCUGCUUAGCAUGCAGCAGGUCCCAGGUUCAAUCCCCAGCCUCUCCA